UACGGAGGGUGCAAGCGUUAUCCGGAUUCACUGGGUUUAAAGGGUGCGUAGGCGGGUUGGUAAGUCCGUGGUGAAAUCCCCAAGCUUAACUUGGGAACUGCCGUGGAUACUAUCAAUCUUGAAUAUCGUGGAGGUAAGCGGAAUAUGUCAUGUAGCGGUGAAAUGCUUAGAUAUGACAUAGAACACCAAUUGCGUAGGCAGCUUACUACACGAUCAUUGACGCUGAGGCACGAAAGCGUGGGGAGCAAACAGGAUUGAGAAAC
rnacentral:rRNA from 1 species